AUGCCCACUGUGUGCAAAGCACAGGGCAAGGGAUUGCGCUGUGAACAAGGCACUACCCUUGUCCCCCACUCCAUGUCCUUGAGGCAGAAAUGGAAGAAAGCCAGCCGUCAGAAGGAUGUGGCGCUCAGCAAGUCUACGGGGACUGGGGCGCGAGAGUCUGGCUCAGAAGCACCCAAGAGCCCUUCACCAGAGUAUUUUGUUAUGGCGAGAGAUGAGAAUGAAGGAAAGAGUCUCCCGAUUCAGACUCUGACCCUGACCCUUCUGGGACACGUUUCUGCGAUGGCCUUUAGUAACCUAGAAAUGCUUUUCCCACGUCUGCCUUCCCCGGAGGAUGGAUUGCUUCAGUUAGGCCCUUGAGGUCUCUCUGGAGUUGCAGAGAGGGCCCCAGAGGAUCUAGUUUUCCGGCUGCCCUGCCGCCACCAGCCAUCGACCCGCAGAGAGGCCUGCUGCUUCACUCUGGAGAGCAGAAGGGGUGCGUAAAAGCAGGGCAGAGAGAAGGCCCUUGGUUCAGAAUCAGAGCUGCCCCUUCAUACCUUUCAGAAGCUCUUGUCUUCAAGGAUGCCUACGACACAGUGGCCCUGCCCUCACGUCCUCCUCUGACGCCGGUCCCAACCCGGCCGUGUCUGCCACGCUGCGGUUUUGAUCUCCUCGACCCAGAAAGCCUCUUCUCUUGGCUCGCUGGACACCAGCCCCGGCGGCUUCGGUCCUGCCCCGCUGGGCUGUCUGAGCAGCGAGGUGGUCUCGUACGUUUGAAUUUUCGGCGGAGCCUCCCGAGGCAGCAAUCACGUCCUAGGCACCCUGUGUUUCCCAGGGCCUACCGUUUGUUCACAGAUCCCACUGCUGCUGUGGUCUAGCCCCGCCUCUCAGACUGUUCUCUUUCCUCCUGCUGCUCUCAUUGGCCGUCCUCCCCCAGAGCUUGGGACGUGCUGGCAACCCCCUCCAAUGUGUCCAUGUCACCAGCCCUCCCCCGCUUCUGCUGGCGGGGUAGUCGGGGGAGGUGCCUAGGGCCUGGGCUGGAUAGUAACUUCUUCAGGGCCACCCCUGACACUUCCCCAGUGUAGAAGUUCAACUCAUUUACUCACCCCCCACCCCUUUUCCUGACUUGAUUUCCACUGACCCGUCAUUAAAGAACUCAUUUCUUAUUGAAGUUGGACCUAUUUAUUCACUCACUACACAUUUGCCUGCAGAUUUGGCGUGGAGCCAUAGGGAGUAAAUAUAAGUUGGCUUGCAUUGAAAUGAAAUACCCACGUAUGUGCCCAUGUGGAGUGCCGACCACGGUGCCGGGUGCAUGGCGGGCGCUUGGUAAGUGUAGGUGCCACCGAAUGGGCAACGGUUUGAUGCGAAGCACUAUUCAGUUUCAAGGACCCAACGACACCCCCCAAAACACCACCUCUAGGCUCAAGGGCACCCAGAGAGCUCUGUUAAAUGAAGUAAAGCCUUUUGCUUGGCUCUUGAAGACCUUUGAAAAUUGCCACGAGCCAGUCUGUCCCCCUAGCUGGUCCCACUAGCCACCCAAUCCUGCAGCGCAUGUCUGGGGUCCUCCCCCCCGGGACACGAAAAGGUGAACCAUCUAGGAAGGUUUGGAAACCAUCAAGUUUCACGGGUGGUUCUAAAACCAUCUAUGAAAGUUCUAGAAAAAGUGUUCAAAAUAUUUUAAUGAAUUUCACAUCCAAGGUAUCAAAGAAAAAGGGAAACACAACACAAAAUAUAAUUCCAUUUUCAUGUAACUAGGGUGAAAUAUAGUCCCUUUCUUUUUCCCUCUUAAAUCCCCAAGUCCAGCGAAAGAGAUAAGGCAGGAUGGAAAUAACCCGAGAUGAAGACAAGGAUACCAUAAGAGCAUUAGAGACCCCGGGUUAGGAGGUUUGGGAGAGAGGAGGGAACGUUCAGCGGCUGCCAGGGAGCAGAGAGCUUGCUGGAAGGCAAGGUGUUGAUAAGUAGCUGCAGGCCGCUCAAGUGUUGAGUUUGAGUUCUUGUCCUAAGCUGUGGGUUAUUGGUUUUAACAGGCAGGAAACAUGGCCCCGUCACAAAGUUCUAGCCGGAAAUAAACUAAUGAAAGAUGUGUGUAGAGAGGCA
rnacentral:lncRNA from 1 species